rnacentral:rRNA from 1 species
UACGUAGGGUCCGAGCGUUGUCCGGAAUUACUGGGCGUAAAGAGCUCGUAGGUGGUUCGUCGCGUUGUUCGUGAAAACUCACAGCUUAACUGUGGGCGUGCGGGCGAUACGGGCAGACUAGAGUACUGCAGGGGAGACUGGAAUUCCUGGUGUAGCGGUGGAAUGCGCAGAUAUCAGGAGGAACACCGGUGGCGAAGGCGGGUCUCUGGGCAGUAACUGACGCUGAGGAGCGAAAGCGUGGGGAGCGAACAGG